GUGACACCCCUCAGCGGCUAGCAGAGGCAGCCAUGAGCACACUGGUCUUGCUGCCACUGGGAGCAGAGCUUGUGAAGUUCUGAAGUCUCGGUGCUUCGAGGGUGUGAAACGGAACAGAUGCUGCCCCGCGAUCCCGCCUGGUGGACCACAGGAACCUAGGACUCAGGCAGAGAAUAUUCAUCGAGAAUGCACAACUGCUCCGGGGUCACAGGCUUCCUCCUCUUGGGAUUCCCUGGACUGUGGAGCCCUCAGGUCCUGCA